UAUGCCACCACCACUGUAUCAUCUCGAAACUUCUCUCUGCACCUGGGGCCUCCUCAUCCUGGAACAUCCAAAAACCCCUGAAUCCUUCAGAACCUAGAAUAUCCCUUGUCCUGCUGGGGAUAAGUUGCUGAGCCUGAAGUUAAGAAGAACUGAGUACAAAUUUCACUUCAGACAUUUACUGUGUGACCCUGGUCUAGAGUUCAGUUCACCACUCUGGAUGUCAUACAAAGCUUUGUUCUUCUGUGACACAAUAUGGCAACGUGACAAAGAAAGAAGGCCACCGUGGUGAAAUAGGGAAAAAUUGAAACAAAAACCAAGCAGCCAGACCAAAAUUCAGACUAGUUGGAUUGCAGACUAAGGCGACUAUUGAGUAGCAGGG